rnacentral:rRNA from 1 species
GUCCACGCCCUAAACGAUGGAUACUAAGCAGAGGAACCUGCAAGGGUUUCUUUGCCGUAGCGAAAGCGUUAAGUAUCCCGCCUGGGGAGUAUGGUCGCAAGGCUGAAACUCAAAGGAAUUGACGGGGGCUCACACAAGCGGUGGAGCAUGUUGCUUAAUUCGAUGCAACGCGAAGAACCUUACCUGGGCUCGAAAGCGCACGAAUUAAACUCGAAUGAAAAGUCGAGGUAACCCGCAAAGGGUAAAAGCGUGCGAAGGUGUUGCAUGGCUGUCGU